rnacentral:rRNA from 1 species
GGAUCAAUAUGUUGGUCGUGCCUUGGUACGUACUAGCUUAUUGAUUUCUCCCUUCUGACGAACCAUGAUGUCAUUAAUUUGGUGUCAUGGGGAAUUAGGACUGUUACUUUGAAAAGAUUAGAGUGUUUAAAGCAAGCUAACGCUUGAAUACAUUAGCAUGGAAUAAUGAAAUAGGACGUUCGAUCCUAUUUUGUUGGUUUCUAGGAUUGACGUA